UACGAAGGGGCUAGCGUUGCUCGGAAUCACUGGGCGUAAAGGGUGCGUAGGCGGGUCUUUUAAGUCAGGGGUGAAAUCCUGGAGCUCAACUCCAGAACUGCCUUUGAUACUGAGGAUCUUGAGUUCGGGAGAGGUGAGUGGAACUGCGAGUGUAGAGGUGAAAUUCGUAGAUAUUCGCAAGAACACCAGUGGCGAAGGCGGCUCACUGGCCCGAUACUGACGCUGAGGCACGAAAGCGUGGGGAGCAA
rnacentral:rRNA from 1 species